rnacentral:rRNA from 1 species
UACAGAGGUCUCAAGCGUUGUUCGGAUUCAUUGGGCGUAAAGGGUGCGUAGGUGGCGUGGUAAGUCUGGUGUGAAAUCCCGGGGCUCAACCCCGGAACUGCACUGGAUACUGCCAUGCUUGAGUACUGGAGAGGAGAUUGGAAUUUACGGUGUAGCAGUGAAAUGCGUAGAUAUCGUAGGGAAGACCAGUGGCGAAGGCGAAUCUCUGGACAGUUACUGACACUGAGGCACGAAGGCCAGGGGAGCAAACGGG